rnacentral:lncRNA from 1 species
UUUUGGCAUAGCUGGUAGGAUUUUACAGUGACCUCCCUAGAUCAUCCAGCAUGGCUUCCAGCAUUUGUGCCGAUACUAGCAAUGGACCCAUUGUAUUCCUGAACUCAGAUACCCUUGCUGGGUACUACAGAUGAGCUCCUCCCAAAAUCAGUAAACCUCUCGUCUUGGUGAAAGUUCUAGUUUACUGAAGCUGUUUUUUUCCUUGGCUAAGAGGUCAAAGACUCUCUCAAAAUUAGAGUUACUCCCAUGAAUUCAAGGUUCUGAGAUGGCAACUGCUGGUUUCAUUUGUCUGGAGAUUUCAUCUUUCAGAGCUGUCAAGGAUUUUAGUGGCUAUAAGGAGAGAACUCUGAUGAUAAAGUUUAUUGAUUCAUGACUGCAUUCAUAUAAAACACUAAAUGGAAUUUUGAAUGGCAAGAAACAUGUUUUGUACAUUCAAUAAAUGAGAAUCUGUGUAUCAUGAAAAUGGUAACACUUAGUAUGAUAAUUUUCAGUUUAUAAAGUGUUUUAUUUAAUUCUGACAAUAAUCCUGUAAGGUAGCUGAGUUGUUGAGUUAUAGUAGCACUCAAUGUAUACCCUUCAACCCCUGCCACAAACACACAAAUGCAUGUUCAGUUUUCUUUCAUAUACAAAAUAUCCCAUCUCCCCAAACCGUUACCCCAUCUCAUACUUUGUUCACUUCUAAAAUUCCUGGAAAGGUGAAAUGUUCCCAUAACUGUCUUCAACUCAUCACUACCACUCCAUGAGAUCUGGUCUAAUCUUUGCCAUUAUAGAAAAUCUCACUUAGUUACUAAUAACUUCCUUGUUGCUAAAUGUAGUGAAGUUUCCUCUAUAUGUAUCAUUCGAAG